rnacentral:rRNA from 1 species
UACGUAGGGUGCAAGCGUUGUCCGGAAUUAUUGGGUGUAAAGAGCUCGUAGGCGGUUUGUCGCGUCUGCUGUGAAAACUCAGGGCUUAACCCUGAGCUUGCAGUGGGUACGGGCAGACUAGAGUGCGGUAGGGGAGACUGGAAUUCCUGGUGUAGCGGUGAAAUGCGCAGAUAUCAGGAGGAACACCGGUGGCGAAGGCGGGUCUCUGGGCAGUAACUGACGCUGAGGAGCGAAAGCAUGGGGAGCGAACAGG